GACGAACGCUGGCGGCGCGCUUAACACAUGCAAGUCGAACGGAAAGGCCUGCUUUCCCUUGUGGAUUGCGGGUACUCGAGUGGCGAACGGGUGAGUAACACGUGAGUGAUCUGCCCCCAACUUGGGUAUAAGCCUGGGAAACUGGGUCUAAUUCCCGAUAGGACUGCAGGGUGGUGCCUGUGGUGGAAAACGAUUUUCUAGUGGUUGGGGAUGAGCUCGCGGCCUAUCAGCUUGUUGGUGGGGUAAUGGCCUACCAAGGCGGCGACGGGUAGCCGGCCUGAGAGGGUGGACGGCCACAUUGGGACUGAGAUACGGCCCAGACUCCUACGGGAGGCAGCAGUGGGGAAUAUUGCACAAUGGGCGGAAGCCUGAUGCAGCGACGCCGAGUGGGGGAUGACGGCCUUCGGGUUGUAAACUCCUUUCGACCGCGAGGAAGCCACCUGGUUGGAAGGGUGGUGACGGUAGUGGUAGAAGAAGCACCGGCUAACUACGUG
rnacentral:rRNA from 1 species